GGGUGGCUCGUCUAGCUGGGAAAGACAUUCAGAAAGUAAACGGGUUUGGCACUGAAAAAUGUGGGUUCGACUCCCUCGCCACUCA
rnacentral:tRNA from 1 species